CGCUCGAGUCCCCCGGGUCGCGCCCAGCGCCACGCCCGACUGCCCCGGGCUCUAGCGGGGCGCCUACGGGAGAGGUGCGGGGCGCGCUGCCAGAUCGGAGCGGGCGCCGGCCGGCGAGGCAGCCAUUGUGUCGUCUCCCGGAAUGCCUGCGUGGAGCCUGGCGCGCCUCUUGGGGGGACCCCGGGGUGCCCUCAGAACUACUGGGUCGGUGAGGGCGGAGCCAUCCCUCGACCCGGGAGUCUCGCGGUGAGCAGCUGUGGUCGGGAGGACCCGAUCCGGAGUAUCAUAGAUUGCUGGCCCACAGAAAUUUGAAUGAAGCUGAAGUAGGUGGCUUCUGGGUCUCUUUAGAUACAUCCUCAUUGAAUGGUAAAAGACUUGAAGCUUUUCUCCUAAGAUCAGAAGGAAGAUGAGGAUACCUGUUUAU